UAAGAAUAUUCCGCAAUGGGGGGAACCCUGACGGAGCGACGCCGCGUGAACGAAGAAGGCCGGAAGGUUGUAAAGUUCUUUUCUGUCCGAGGAAUAAGUGUAGGAGGAAAUGCCUGCAUGGUGACGGUAGGGCAGGAAUAAGCACCGGUUAAUUACGUGCCAGCAGCCGCGGUAAU
rnacentral:rRNA from 1 species